rnacentral:rRNA from 1 species
GACGAACGCUGGCGGCGUGCUUAACACAUGCCAGUCGAACGAAGAGCGACGGAAGCUUGCUUCUAUCAAUCUUAGUGGCGAACGGGUGAGUAACGCGUAAUCAACCUGCCCUUCAGAGGGGGACAACAGUUGGAAACGACUGCUAAUACCGCAUACGAUCUAAUCUCGGCAUCGAGGAUGGAUGAAAGGUGGCCUCUACAUGUAAGCUAUCACUGAAGGAGGGGAUUGCGUCUGAUUAGCUAGUUGGAGGGGUAACGGCCCACCAAGGCGAUGAUCAGUAGCCGGUCUGAGAGGAUGAACGGCCACAUUGGGACUGAGACACGGCCCAGACUCCUACGGGAGGCAGCAGUGGGGAAUCUUCCGCAAUGGACGAAAGUCUGACGGAGCAACGCCGCGUGAGUGAUGACGGCCUUCGGGUUGUAAAGCUCUGUUAAUCGGGACGAAAGGCCUUCUUGCGAAUAGUGAGAAGGAUUGACGGUACCGGAAUAGAAAGCCACGGCUAACUACGUG